GCGGAUGUAGCCAAGUGGAUCAAAGCAGUGGAUUGUGGAUCCACCAUGCGCGGGUUCAAUUCCCGUCGUUCGCC
rnacentral:tRNA from 1 species